rnacentral:misc_RNA from 1 species
GAUGAAGAACGUAGCGAAAUGCGAUAAGUAAUGUGAAUUGCAGAAUUCAGUGAAUCAUCGAAUCUUUGAACGCACCUUGCGCCCUUUGGCCAUUCCGAAGGGCAUGCCUGUUUGAGUAUCAUGAACACCUCAACUCUUCAUGGUUUUCCAUGAUGAGCUUGGACUUUGGGGGUCUUGCUGGCCUGUGGGUCGGCUCCUCUCAAAUGAAUCAGCUUGCCGGUUUUUGGUGGGCAUCACAGGUGUGAUAACUAUCUACGCUUGUGGUUUUCCACCAGGGUAACCUUCAGCAGUGGAUGUUCACUGGAGCUUACAAAUGUCUCUCCUCUGUGAGGACAGCCCUUUGAAUGUUUGAUCUCAAAUCAGGUAGGACUACCCGCUGAACUUAAGCAUAUCAAUAAGCGGAGGA